UACGUAGGUGGCAAGCGUUAUCCGGAUUUACUGGGUGUAAAGGGCGUGUAGGCGGGACUGCAAGUCAGAUGUGAAAAUUAUGGGCUCAACCCAUAACCUGCAUUUGAAACUGUAGUUCUUGAGUGAUGGAGAGGCAGGCGGAAUUCCGUGUGUAGCGGUGAAAUGCGUAGAUAUACGGAGGAACACCAGUGGCGGAGGCGGCCUGCUGGACAUUAACUGACGCUGAGGCGCGAAAGCGUGGGGAGCAAACAGG
rnacentral:rRNA from 1 species